rnacentral:rRNA from 1 species
GAACGCUAGCUACAGGCUUAACACAUGCAAGUCGAGGGGGCAGCAGGAAUCUAGCUUGCUAGAUUGCUGGCGACCGGCGCACGGGUGCGUAACACGUAUCCAAUCUACCCCAUUGCUCAGGGAUAGCCUUGCGAAAGUAAGAUUAAUACCUGAUGGUCUCACGCCUCCGCAUGGCGGUGUGAGUAAAGAUUCAUCGGCGAUGGAUGAGGAUGCGUACGAUUAGGUAGUCGGCGGGGUAACGGCCCACCGAGCCUGCGAUCGUUAGGGGUUCUGAGAGGAACGGUCCCCCACACUGGAACUGAGACACGGUCCAGACUCCUACGGGAGGCAGCAGUGAGGAAUAUUGGUCAAUGGUCGAGAGACUGAACCAGCCAAAAGUAGCGUGGAGGGACGACUCGCCCUAGUGGGUUAGUAAACCUCUUUUGUUUGGGAAUAAAGUGCCGUACGUGUACGGUUUUGUAUGUACCUUACGAAUAAGCAUCGGCUAAUUCCGUGCCAGCCGCAGC